rnacentral:rRNA from 1 species
CCUACGGGAGGCAGCAGUGAGGAAUAUUGGUCAAUGGACGAGCGUCUGAACCAGCCAAGUAGCGUGAAGGAUGAAUGUACUAUGUGUUGUACACUUCUUUUAUCAAGGAAUAAAACGAGGCACGUGUCCCUUUUUGCAUGUACUUUAUGAAUAAGGAUCGGCUAACUCCGUGCCAGCAGCCGCGGUAAUACGGAGGAUCCGAGCGUUAUCCGGAUUUAUUGGGUUUAAAGGGAGCGUAGAUGGGUUGUUAAGUCAGUUGUGAAAGUUUGCGGCUCAACCGUAAAAUUGCAAUUGAUACUGGCAGUCUUGAGUACAGUUGAGGUAGGCGGAAUUCGUGGUGUAGCGGUGAAAUGCUUAGAUAUCACGAAGAACCCCGAUUGCGAAGGCAGCUUACUAAACUGUGACUGACAUUGAUGCUCGAAAGUGUGGGUAUCAAACAGGAUUAGAUACCCGAGUAGUC